UCCAUGGAGGAGCCAACUCCAAAGACAAGGGCACGGCCUGGCUUGAUUUCUUCAGCAGGUCCCCAAUCUCUCCCAUUGAUGCUUAUGAAUAUGUUGAGUUUCUUAUUGUUUUUUAUUUUGUUAUGAAGUUUUUCAUUGUUUUUUUUGUGUUUGAUUUUAUUGGAAUUUGGUUGGUGAAAGUGGAAAUGGCAAGCUCAGUGGAGAAGAAGCAGACCUAUUUUUUGUGCCGACGUAUACAAAAUGUGUUCGAAUGUUGGGUGGUCUUAAUGAUAAAGAGAUUAACCAGACAUAUAUAUAUAUGUGAAGGUUGCCUUGAGGCUCUGCUUUCAACAUAUGAGCUAUGAGUUUAGAGCUCCAUAGUACUUGACUCUCAACCCUCUCAGUCUCGGAUUCGGAGAAACUGGGGCCUUGUGUGCAAUGAAGGAAGUUGAUCUCAUUCCUCAUGAUCCUAAAUCUGCAGAAAGUAUAAAGCAAUCGGAAAAUGCUUCAGUUACAUGGUGUUUCUUCAAUGUUGC